rnacentral:lncRNA from 1 species
UGUUCAUGUUGCACAAAUAUUUUUUAUAAAGUUCCAAGUUACAACUCCUAAUCCAUUCUUACCCUUUCAUAAUAGCAAACACAAUCUUGGAACCCACAAAAACCGACCGGCAGGCAGGUUGAGUAACACGCCUAGAUGAAAGAUGUUGAAUAGCCUAAAAGCUUCCGACCCUAAAUUGCGGAAUCAUACCAGACGGUUGUAAAACACCACAUUUGCCCGUGACGGAGGUUCGUUGAAAUCAAUUUUACCCCUGCCUGCGCCUAAAUCAAUUAAAGAACA